rnacentral:rRNA from 1 species
GACGAACGCUGGCGGCGUGCUUAACACAUGCAAGUCGAACGGAAAGGCCUCUUUCGGGGGGUACUCGAGUGGCGAACGGGUGAGUAACACGUGAGUAACCUGCCCUUGACUUUGGGAUAACUUCAGGAAACUGGGGCUAAUACCGGAUAGGAGCUCCUGCUGCAUGGUGGGGGUUGGAAAGUUUCGGCGGUUGGGGAUGGACUCGCGGCUUAUCAGCUUGUUGGUGGGGUAGUGGCUUACCAAGGCUUUGACGGGUAGCCGGCCUGAGAGGGUGACCGGCCACAUUGGGACUGAGAUACGGCCCAGACUCCUACGGGAGGCAGCAGUGGGGAAUAUUGCACAAUGGGUGGAAGCCUGAUGCAGCAACGCCGUGUGCGGGAUGACGGCCUUCGGGUUGUAAACCGCAUUCGCUCAUGACGAAGCUUUGUGUGACGGUAGUGGGUAAAGAAGCACCGGCUAACUACGUG